AAUAGAUACCCGGGUAGUCCAUGCUGUAAACGAUGAGAACUAGAUGUUAGGGGGCAUGACCUCUUAGUAUCGAAGCUAACGCGAUAAGUUCUCCGCCUGGGGAGUACGGCCGCAAGGUUAAAACUCAAAGAAAUUGACGGGGGCCCGCACAAGCGGUGGAGCAUGUGGUUUAAUUCGAUGCAACGCGAAGAACCUUACCUACCUUUGAAUCCACGGAACCUAGCAGAGAUGUUGGGGUGCCUUCGGGAACCGUGAGACAGGUGCUGCAUGGCUGUCGUCAGCUCGUGUCGUGAGAUGUUGGGUUAAGUCCCGUAACGAGCGCAACCCUUGUCCUUAGUUGCCAUCAGGUUAUGCUGGGCACUUUAAGGAGACUGCCGGUGAUAAACCGGAGGAAGGUGGGGAUGACGUCAAGUCCUCAUGGCCCUUACAGGUAGGGCUACACACGUGCUACAAUGGGCAGUACAGAGGGAAGCCAACCCGGCGAAGGGGAGCGAAUCUCAUAAAGCUGUUCGUAGUCCGGAUUGGAGUCUGCAACUCGACUCC
rnacentral:rRNA from 1 species